rnacentral:rRNA from 1 species
GUGUCAGCAGCCGCGGUAAUACGAAGGGGGCGAGCGUUGUUCGGAUUUACUGGGCGUAAAGGGCGCGCAGGCGGCAGCUCAAGUCAGGCGUGAAAGCCCCGGGCUUAACCUGGGAACUGCGUCUGGGACUGAAUUGCUAGAGUUCGGGAGAGGAGAGUGGAAUUCCCAGUGUAGAGGUGAAAUUCGUAGAUAUUGGGAAGAACACCGGUGGCGAAGGCGGCUCUCUGGACCGAGACUGACGCUGAGGCGCGAAAGCGUGGGGAGCAAACAGGAUUAGAAACCCGUGUAGUCC